rnacentral:tRNA from 1 species
GCGGACGUGGCGGAAUUGGCAGACGCGCAGGAUUCAGGUUCCUGUGGUAGCAAUACUGUGUGGGUUCAAGUCCCAUCGUCCGCACCA